AUGAUAAGAAGAGAGCGUGGACUGAAGUGGCAGAAGCUGUAACAAGUGCCUUCCCUGGGAGUGGACCCCGUACGCAGGAUGACUGUGAGAGGCGUUGGUACAACGUACAACAAAAAUCAAAGCCUUGCAUUGCCAAGUGCAAGAAUGAGCAGCGGCAGACUGAUACACACUUUAUCAGUAUUGCUAGAGACCAUCCCAGCACAUUGUUCAUUACUUGUGGAAAAGAUACCAUUAGCUGCUCCAGCAACAGCCACUGCUUCAAUAUCUGCUGGCCCUAUGACACCAGCCACUGCUUCAAUAUCUG